AUGUCAAUGCGGAGAACAUUGUGCGUGUGAAAUUUUUAACAAAAAAACUUUUUGAAAUUUCAUGGCUUAAUAUCCAAUUAGCCAAUGUAUUUGCCCUGGGAGCAAAAGAAUUUUUCAAAAAGGUUGUACUGUCCGUCCAAGGGUUGCCGCAGGCAGAUCAACGAGCACUAAUGACCAAAGGGGUAAUCCAAUAAUUUGGAAACGAGGAACGUCCUUUUUCUCAAAGUUUCGUUAAACUCUUCGAAAAUUUUGAGAAAACCGACCAUGCAUGUUCCAAUAUAACCCUGUACCCAUCGUCGACAAUUUAUGAGUUGUGUCAGCCGAAAGUGGCGACCCUUUGUCGGCGGAGAAACGUAACUUGACCGUAACGUUUCACAUAAGACCAAUAGAAAAUACCUCCUUCAAUUUACCGAUGACCCGGUGGUCACUUCGAGGCGGUCGCUUCUUCAAAGUCUCAAAAUCACAAUCGGUCAUUACGGGUUAGUCAAGAAGCAAGUCUCGGUCAGCAGAGUAGCCAGCAGCGAAACUUUUUUUGAGAGAGACUCGUCGGAAGCCGAGACCACCUCUAGUUCAUUUUUUGGGCCAAACCGUAUAAACCGAAGCAAUCGACAAUUCUGAUAAAGCAGUGGUCAUCCAUAUAAGGAAACGUCACGCUUUUAAUUUGAUCCACUUUUGACACGUCUUUCAUGGACAUUCAAAUGCCUCAGGCCAUCACGUGCUGGGUCCGUUACUCCAAACGACGGUCCCCACAUUUCUACAAGCUGGACCAGAACAGCAUACAACGUGCCGCUAUUUUCUUAAUUAUCGUUAAUGAUUUUUUAGCAAGCCACGAAAGCCCAACGUUCUAAAUUGACUUGUAAAACGUCACACCGCAUUUACUUUCGCAUUAGCCCAGGUCCCAUCGAGCAGCAUUGUUUUAAGGCCCACGGCAUAAUUUUCCUGUUAAUUCAAAACGCGUCUACGGAUUUUCCUUUCGGCGGACGCAUAAGAGUGACCACCCAAGUGGAACGUCCUCAAUUCUGGAUCCAUUUUUAUCAUCCGUAACUUGAUUAGAAUUACCACACGUACCUUAGAGCUGUUAACCUUUUUCUUCAUUCCAAAAAAUAUAUACGUCCACUUUCUUCAUAUUCACAUCAGCAGCCUAGAAAAAAGAAAUUCAAAAACGGAAUACACCAUCGGUCCUCCCAUUUGUUCUAGAACGUGACCCUAGGUCAGUUCUAAGUAUCCUAAAUACAAAUACCAUAUCAGACGUCAGUCCAGACACACUGACAUAGUUCUAAACACAUCGGUAUUAUGUUCAGCGAUCAAAAGCAUAUUGAAUCUUCCACCAAAGUAUCAAAAGCAUCAUAUUUCACACGUCGAGUCCUCUCGAGCAAUAUAACCUCGAUAAUCAAUAUUUUUAAUCGACUCAACCGACUGAUAAGCUCAUUGUAAGUAGGUGCGAAUAAUCAGAAUUAAUUAGGUCUUAACUAAUACAAACUUUAUGCAUUUCUAAUACUCUUAUUGUAUUUAAAAAAAGAAACACUAUAGUCUUAUAAAAUAGCCACAAGCUGGUGACGUCAUCGUGCACUCAUAACCUACUUUUAUAUUUUCUUUUGGUGUUACCACGGAAAGGAUAUAUCGUUUAUGGUUGGCACGAACUAUGGUUUCGGUACCUGAACUGUCAGUCACUGAAAAGCAUUCAGAAGCGGUUAAUGCGGUUUUAAAGGUAGCCCCACACUGGGUAACUGGAAGUAAACUUGUCGGUAUACGAGAUGAGAUCGUGUAUAGAUAGGAUCUGAAGUACCAGGACCACCCGGGCUAUUUAGAGCGAUGUGGCUGAUCGGCAGGGACCACGAUUAUGGUGUCCGGUGUCCGGUGUCCCAUAGGGAAUGUUAACACCUGUUAUGCAUAUUCAAAGGGAAGGAAGAAAGCGGCGGGAAAAUUUGGAUGGGACAUGGAAACUGUAAAUUUUUUUUCCUUUCUCUACAUCUUUACGAAGGUCUCUUUGGGACUAGACAUUAUGCUAAGACUUCGCACCUAUUUCAACACGGUCUUAUCCGGCUUCGGAUCAGCCAGUAUUUGUCUCCUAAACGAGGAUUUCUGGCACCAUUUCACCCGACAUGUUUCUUCUGACGAUCUGGAUCUUGGACCAUUCAUCCCUAUGAAACUUUGGGACAUCGUGUUUUACAGAGGCAGAUUUAGGAGUUAUCUUGUUAUUCCAUAAAGUUUUAACUACUCCCUGUGCCAAGGAAGGGAUGAACGAAAUUACUUUAUACGUCCAGUGAGUAUGGUUUGAGCCAGAUAUAAAAAAGCUGGUACCUCAAAUUUGAUUGAAAAUAGAUAAUACCUUCUACAAACUGUCGGAUGCUCCAAAUUCGAAACCGCCCACAUCCGCCAUUACGGACAUCAGAUCAGUAUUUGUUUGUUUUACUCGUAUAAUCAGGUAACUCCAUUUAUACUACGUGAUCAGGACCCGUAUCAUAAUUGGACCGCCAUCAUAAAUCUUAUCAAGAUCGCUUAAAACUGCUCGUGGUCCAUUCGAAAUUCACGAAAGCCCCUCAUCUCGGAUUGGAGUCCUUCUGCUGUUUUCUUCAGAAAACUUCCUGCAGGAACAUUCUGGAUAGUCACGACGGGAGGCGUCAUAUGGAACUUUUGUGAUGCUGGAACAUUUUGAAAGUCACCCAUGACGCCCACUGUAGCAGACUCCUUUCAGAUUACGCACCAACUGACUGCAGUCCCGUUCGUCCUUCAUCAGGAAUGAAUGGAAAGGAUAGCGUGAGAUUUCUUGAACGUAUAGAAUGAUUAAUCUAAGAAGAUCGCAGUGAAUGAAGUCUGAAAACACUGCACGGUAACAAGAGAAUAUCCAAAAUCAAAAAGCCACAGGAUAAUAUUGUGGCGAAGGUACGGCUGACCUAAAAUGCACAGAGUCUUUCACUGUAAUAAAUAUUAAAACAAGAAAGUCGACUUUCUCGAGAUAAAUAGGAUGGCGGUAGUACCUUCAAGUGUAGAAACGCAAGCAAGAGGAUUUUCUGCCAUUGGUGACUUACCUGUUUCGGAAGGAGCACUUAUGAAUUCGGGGUAGUAAGAAGGUAAUAGGAGGGCGCGCGUAGGGUGCUUUAGAGGGAGGCCACCAUAUGGGGAGCAUACGGCGAGCAGGCACCCGCUCCCUCAAGGGUUUAAUCUACUGACAAACUACUGUCGAAAAAAUCAGUAAUAUCUACAUCUACUUUUGCAACUAUCAUCUUCCCAUGCAUGAGAACGCAUAUGUAUCACUCGAUGGCAGUGCACAAGAAGCUACGUCGAUUCUUUUAAGAAUAAAAAGAAAGCUUUUGAAUGUCUUCAAUUGGCAUAUCGAACGCCAUGAAAUUGGACAAAUUCAAUUGGUGAAUUUGACGAGUAGCGGAAUAAUACGGUGUUGGUGCAGAGUAGAGAAGAGACUCGAGGGUCCCUCGCUUGCCAACUGUCCCAGGUGUAGAUCCCAGGAACACGAGGAGUGUGGCUGGCGCGUGCUGCUACUCCCCAGUUCUCGCUGCUCGAUCCCCGAUCCACGCCUUCACAUUGCCACCGAUCAUUGGUUCAGCUUGGUCACGCUUUAUAAACAUGCGAGCAUAGCUUUUUAAACUGCACACGUUCGCUCACCUCGUUUUCGACACGAACUUAAAACAUAAGGGUUGAAAUUUUCAUAACUAUAACUGAACCCCAUCUUGGGAUGUCUUAGAAUCACGCUACCAACGGUUCAUUACUGAAAGCCAAAAAUUGUAAUACAGUAAACUAUGAAAAAUUAUUUUCUAAAACAAGUACAAACCAUUUACCGAAUAAUUGAGUAACAAAAAUAAUUCAGACUUUAAGCUUCGAAUAGUCUUACAAUUUUGCUUAACUUUUUCUUUUCUAUCUGUGUGGUUUCUGAUUGAAUAGGAAAUAGGGGUUGGAAUUAAAGAUUGCACCUGAGGCGUUUCGUUUUUCUUACAUUGUAAUUCUCAUAUGUGUAUUUCGUGAUGUGGUCAAAGAAUAAUUUCGUGAAGAGGGAACGAAUCAAUGAUGAUCGAAAUUCUCGGUCCUUCUGCAAUUAUGGAAAUUCAACCCUACAGAAAAUCAAGGAUAUCGGUUAACGUGAUUCUCGUGCAGACGAAUAUCGGGUCUAUGAAGGUACAGAUUAAUUAACGAUUUUCUAAAGAUGCGUGCCAACCCCAGGCGAUAUUUUAAUAUGAAUAAUCAAGCCCUCGUUAGAGCCAGAAUCCCGGUGAAACUAAUUAUGCAAAUGUGCGUUAAGAUACGUUAACGAAUUUUACAAUCGCCCUAAUAACCCAACGUAUCGAUAAUUUGACAGAUAAAAAUGUACCGAUCAAAUCAAAGGUGUAAAAUCACCCUCGACAUUGUUAAACAUGCCUACCAAGAACCAGUGUUCUACCCUAUUUAAUAAUUUACAACCCCCUGAUACUACCCCAGUUGCACCAACCCUUGAAACGACCUCCUGCCCAAAGUGCAUCCCAUUUUAAAAAAUUAUUUCAACUCUCCACUCCGUCCAUUAGUUAUCCGUAAUCGCAGCUCUUUCAACAACCACGUUGCAAAUAUUACACGGUUCACUUGGCUUCCUCAAUUAAUUAAAAUAUUUAUCACUAAUGUCUUAUCACCAAUAAAAUCACUCUCUCCCGUAAAUCCUUAUCCCCUAUACUUUCUCGAACGUUCUCACGUUCCCAUUUUAUACGUUUCCAUCCAGCAAUUUUCGAGCCAACCACCACCUCUCCCAUUUUACCUAUAGUCGAAGUAAUCGACCGAAGCCUCGCGUUUAAAUUCACAGCUUGAACGUUCUUAUCGCGCAUAAUAUUAUAAUGGAAGAUAGGAACUACGUAAUGGAUCUCACGUUAAUGCCUGAGAAAAAGUUGGAAAGAUUACGUACCGUUAUACCGAAGGCAAUAAACGAGGGGCUUCUCGCUACGCUUGCCUAUAUACCAUAUAUAUAUGUGGGUACAGCUACAACCCUAUGUACGUAUAUACUUAUAUGUAUAAACAUAUCUUUCAUACCGACUGUCACAGAUUCUAUGCCAAGACGUCACACGUCAACAUAUUUCUAUAGGAAGUCUUCGGUAUGGCAGUUGGAACGAUUCAAAAAAUCGAAUACCGCGUGCCAACUCAUUCUUCAAGAUGGAGGUUUGAAGAAACGGCGGGUACCGUAGAUACAACAAAAAUCUCAUCCAGCAUCACCAAACGACACAGAGAUACGUCGCGUGUGGCAACUGCCACCAAGAAGUUAGAAGAAAAUUUUGAAAAAUAAAAAUCCUGCUUAAAACAAACAGCCCGCCCUAGACUUGCGGCCGCCUUGUAAUAACGCGUCUGACCAAUACCGGAUGGAUAAUCGUUUAACUGCAACCCUCGGCUCUUAAAACCAUUUUGGCGCAGUUACAAACCUACCGAUUGUCCUGCUAACAAGCCGAACCGUAGUUUCGGCAAACCUACAAGGACGAAGUAUGGUCGCGGCAUCUUUUGUAAUCCCUCGCGGACCUUUAAUUGCGCACGCGGAGAAAAGAUACUUAGCUAAGAAACUAUGGUUGUCAUAGUUUUUUGAAUAAACUACAAAAAAUUUCAAAAAAUCUUCAUACCAUCGUUUUUGACAUCGACAUAAAAUCGAUUCGUUCACGGCCGUGAACGACGGGGUUAGGUUAACUAUGGGUGGACAAAUUUUUUUUCGAAUUUGUAACUAAAAAAAAAUGUCUGGAAAUAUUAAUUGGGGGUAAUUUUCUCACACGUUGAUCCUCGCUCGAGGCACAAUGAUUUUUCUCAUCUGCACCAAUUUUUAGUGUGACACGUCCUUUCCGCCAUUCAGUAAAUUCGAGAUGCCUACGACGUGAUAAACAUUUAUAAUAUCAUUAACAAAAAAAAAAAAACCAGUAGGGAUUCUUCUCAGAGACAAUCAUUACAGGCGGUACCUUAUUUGUCCCUGUAGUUUUUUUUUUGGAAAUCCUUUGCUGUCUGAUUAGGUCAUAGUGCCGCCUAGUGAUUUUAAAGCGACCAAUAUUUGAUGAAACUAAUCACAAAAAAAAAGGAAGACAGAAUACUUGUCAUUUACCUGUCU